AUUGAACGCUGGCGGCAUGCCUUACACAUGCAAGUCGAACGGUAACGGGCCUUCGGGUGCCGACGAGUGGCGAACGGGUGAGUAAUGCAUCGGAACGUACCUUUCAGUGGGGGAUAACGUAGCGAAAGUUAUGCUAAUACCGCAUAUUCUGUGAGCAGGAAAGCAGGGGAUCGCAAGACCUUGCGCUGAUUGAGCGGCCGAUGUCAGAUUAGCUAGUUGGUGAGGUAAAGGAUCACCAAGGCGACGAUCUGUAGCGGUUCUGAGAGGAUGAUCCGCCAGACUAGAACGGAGUGCCGGUCCAGGCUCCUACGUGCGACAGGAGUGGUGAACUUUGUACAAUGGCGGCAUCCCUGUCCCAUCCACGCCGCGUGAGUGAAGCAGGCCUCCGGCUUGUCAAGCUCUUUCGGUCGGGAAGAAAUCGCAUGGCUUAAUACCCUGUGCGGAUGACGGUACCGGCACAGGAAGCACCGGCUAUCUACGUGCAAGCCGCCGCGGUAACAC
rnacentral:rRNA from 1 species